rnacentral:rRNA from 1 species
GUCCACGCCGUAAACGAUGUCGACUUGGAGGUUGUUCCCUUGAGGAGUGGCUUCCGGAGCUAACGCGUUAAGUCGACCGCCUGGGGAGUACGGCCGCAAGGUUAAAACUCAAAUGAAUUGACGGGGGCCCGCACAAGCGGUGGAGCAUGUGGUUUAAUUCGAUGCAACGCGAAGAACCUUACCUACUCUUGACAUCCACGGAAUUUGGCAGAGAUGCCUUAGUGCCUUCGGGAACCGUGAGACAGGUGCUGCAUGGCUGUCGU